rnacentral:rRNA from 1 species
UACGUAGGGGGCUAGCGUUGUCCGGAAUCAUUGGGCGUAAAGCGCGUGUAGGCGGCCCGAUAAGUCCGCUGUGAAAGUCAGGGGCUCAACCCUUGAAUGCCGGCGGAUACUGUCGGGCUAGAGUCCGGAAGAGGCGAGUGGAAUUCCCGGUGUAGCGGUGAAAUGCGCAGAUAUCGGGAGGAACACCUAUGGCGAAGGCAGCUCGCUGGGACGGUACUGACGCUGAGACGCGAAAGCGUGGGGAGCAAACAGG